GAUGAACGCUGGCGGCGUGCUUAACACAUGCAAGUCGAACGGAAAGGCUCCUGCUUGCAGGGGUACUCGAGUGGCGAACGGGUGAGUAACACGUGGGUGAUCUGCCCUGCACUUCGGGAUAAGCCUGGGAAACUGGGUCUAAUACCGGAUAGGACGAUGGUUUGGAUGCCAUUGUGGAAAGUUUUUCGGUGUGGGAUGAGCUCGCGGCCUACCAGCUUGUUGGUGGGGUAAUGGCCUACCAAGGCGUCGACGGGUAGCCGGCCUGGGAGGGUGUACGGCCACAUUGGGACUGAGAUACGGCCCAGACUCCUACGGGAGGCAGCAGUGGGGAAUAUUGCACAAUGGGCACAAGCAUGAUGCAGCGACGCCGCGUGGGGGAUGACGGCCUUCGGGUUGUAAACUCCUUUCGCUAGGGACGAAGCGCAAGUGACGGUACCUGGAGAAGAAGCACCGGCUAACUACGUG
rnacentral:rRNA from 1 species